CAAACUUAAUGCCUUGGCCAUUUUUCAUGUCUGAGAGAGAAACCCCGACUUUUUCUUCACUUCGAGCAAAAUCUGGAGCUUUUCUUCACCAUCUUCUCAAAACACUUAGCCAUCACAAAUCACCAUCCUUCAAAUUCUGGAUUUAGGUUCUAUUCGAUUGGGGUUCGAUUUGGGUUCUACUCGAUUAGGGUUCGAUUAAGGGGUUUUUCAUUCUGCUAAUGGGGGAUUUGGGUUCUGACCAAUCGAGUUGGGUUCUCCCCCGAAACCUAUCCCUCUACUCCCUCCCCUCCCGCUCGCGCGCUCUCUCUAGGAGGUGCAGAGAUUUCUUUGUGGCUCAUCUCGGAGGUGCAUCCUGGCGUUGACUCGUCGGAGGAAGGCGAAGAAGAUGGUGGCUACGGUGAGUCCACCCCGGUGGUCAGAGAUCGGUGACGGAGGAGAGAGAUUCCUCCAGAUCCACUUUUUCUCUCCUCCCACUCUCUCUCGUCUGUGCUUCUCUCUUCAACUAGUCCCUCAACCUUUAAUUCUGAUCAAAAUCAAAUCUUUACAACUGAGCUGUGACGAGAGAGGAAGAGGAGAGAGAUGGCGGAAGAGAAGCCUGAAGUGCUUGACGCGGUGCUGAAGGAAACAGUUGAUUUGGGGUCCAUUCACUUGCAAUUGUCAUGACUGAAACAGAAAGAGGAAGACUUGAGCAAUACAAAGGUCUUGAAGAUUUGGAAUUUAUAUAAGGGGUUCAAACCAGGUGAAUGGACAAUAUAUAUCACUGCAAGAAAGAGAUUAGUUUAGCAAUUGAUUUGGAUUUGCUUACUGAAUGAUUUUGAUUCCAUGUGUAGCAAUGGAUCCAUUGCAAUCACUAUGCGGAAGGAAAAAACAAGGUUAUCUGAUGAAUGUGUAUGUAAUUGCUUAGUGUUGCUGAUUUGAGUCUCCUUUUUAUUUUUAUUUUUUUCGCUUAUUGAAUUAUAUUUUUAAGCUGUGGGAGGGGAGAAACAUGAGUUCUCUUCAUGUCCUUAAUAUUCAAUAUCCAUUGUUCACAAAAUCUGGGUUCGUUGUUCAUGACAGUUUAUUGAUUCGUGCAUCAUUGAAAAUUCAAUGUCCUUCGACAGAAAAAAAAAAAACUGAAUUCAAACGGUAUAUUCCUUUGCUUCCUCAAAUUCUGCAAGUAGUAAUUUGCCUUAAUUCUUUGCUUCCUAAUUGUUCUUUUUUACUAAUUCAGAUAUAAAGGGUUCGGCUCUUGGUUCUUGGUUUUCAAAGAGCUUUUGCUUAUUAUGAUGCUGCAGGGAAGGAACAAAGAAUUUGAAGACCAAAAAAAAAAAAAAAAAAAAGGAAGAAGAAGCAUAAACUGAGUGAUAAAACUUGCUCCCUUCUUUUCAUUUUGAGUCUGUUCUUUUAUUUAUCUUGGCUCAAAUAGCUUCUUCUUUUUGUUUUUUUUUGUUUUUCUCAAACAUCAAUUAGCUGCCCUUAUUGAAUCAGCCAAAAGUGGGGUUUGUGUAGGUGUGGACUGAAUUCUUUGCAUGUCAUAUUGAAUAAUAUGUAUUUGAUGUUUAGGUCCCAAUGGAGUUUAGGUUUCUAUUUGAUCAUCUAUUGGCAGGACAGCCCUCUAGGUUUUGGAUUUGACACAUUCUGGAACCUACAUUAUUUGCCAAAGUUGUGUGCCUAUAUACAGUAACCAACCAUGAGAGAAUACCAGAUUACUCUUCUAUACUAUAUUUUCUAAAACCAGGCCAAGGAUUAAUUUUCUCAUCUUUACUAACCAAAUAGAUAUUUUAUGAUAGGAAUCUGAUUCAUAUAUGAUUUCUUGUUUGAGCAGAUGUAUGCUUAACUUAUGAGAAUGAAUCUGCUUUGAAGAGGGAAGUACUAAUUGGGAAGAAGGAUGAGAUAUAUGGUGGCAGAUGUGAAGCUUUACAGUGUUAUCAAUGAUGAAGUACUGUACCACCGGGGAGGUAGAGAUAUCAUGAGGAAAGUGAUUGUGAUCACCUCCUGCUUGCCUCGAGAUAUGGACUUUAUCAUGCAAAAGACUCUCACAGCUGCGGCGUAUAAGUGUGUUUCUGUUGAGUUUCUGUUAUUUGAGCAAAAAUCAGCCCAUUUUAGCAUUGUCCUUGUUCAAGCUUGGAUUCAGUCCUCAAAUUAUAGCAUUGAUUAUUAUGCAGGGUCAAGCAUGUGAUGCUGACAAGUAUGUUAUUGGUCUGUGGUGCAAUGGCAAUGAUGUGGAUAUGUGAUACCAUUACACAAUCUAUAUUUGGUAUGAUACUUGACCUUUUGGUUACUUGUUUGGUAGCAAUAUAGUCUUGCUCAUAUUUCCAGGAAAUUUCUAUACUUGUCAUCUUGAGGCCUCAUUUUGUUUCUUCAAAAGCAGUAUAUUAGUUUUCAUAUAUACUUGACCUUUUGGUUACUUGUCUCACACCCAGCAAGGAAUGUUGUCUGCCUUUUUGGUCAAGUUUUAAUUGAUGUGUGUUUCAUUUUGGAGUUUGUGUUAUGAUUAAUGGAGUUGAGAGGAAACGAUACUGAAGCUAUGUUUUAGUUCAUUUAGAAUUCUGGAGUUUAGUGCUUUUUGUUGCGGAUAGUUGA